UGGACCUUUAGCUCAGUUGGUUAGAGCAGACGGCUCAUAACCGUCCGGUCGUAGGUUCGAGUCCUACAAGGUCCA
rnacentral:tRNA from 4 species